ACAUCUUACCUAUGUUACCAACUAAUUCUGAUUAUUCCCCAACAUGUAUCAAAAGUAAAAUUCCUUAUAUUAAACACUUCAGGCCUUGUCCUAGUCCCCAAAGGCAUGGAUAGUAGCCACCAUUCUCCCUCACCCUUCUUCACUGAAAGGUGGAUUGUGCAUUAAACCCCGAGUCAAUCUUGGACAGUAGCAGAACACUGCAUCUUGAAGCCCCAUCCACAACCCCCCCAUAUAUCAAAUGUCCUCUUGACCAAGCAGUCUCCUCUCCUACUGGUUGUUGGUUAACAUGUUGUUCAGCCCUCCAUAGCAGUAUAUUGUUAUGUAAACCAGUCAUAGAUUCAGUAGUGUGUUCCUUCCUGCCUCAGGUGGGCCGUUCGUCUUUAGGGGCAGAGCAGCAGACCACGCUUCCUGAAGCCUGGGAGGUGAGAACCAAUGGGGACCUGGCUCCUGAGAUGAGACCCAAUGGAGGUCUAGCAUCUGAGAUGAGAACCAAUAGGGAUGGCGAGCUAGAGAGCCUGGUGGAUGCUGAGCAGCCAGACAACUCCAGUGACUCAGACAUGAGUGAUGAUGAUAUCCUCACCUUGGACGCUGUGUGUGGUGUGUGAAUACCUGCGAGUGUGUCCGUCCGUCCAUGUGUCUGUUCAUCCUUCUAACAGUGUCCUCUCCUGCUGUACUGUAGAGCCUGCUGCUGAGAGCCUAGUAGACAUGCUGCAGGGUGAGUUCUGUGGGAAGAGAGGCUACGUUCACACCUUCCUCCGAUCCAAACGAUUCUGCUCCAUGACCUGUGUCAGGAUGAAGGGGAUUUCAAGAGACCCAGACUACAAUUCUUGGAAUGUUUUUGUGUUCAGUGGAAUAUCUCCCCUGGAUGGCUAAACUCCAGAAACCAUACAGACCUCAACUUCUCAUCUUUCUGGUCCUCCGACUGCCUCUCUCCCUCCACUCUGUCAGGUUCAAUGUGAGCUGUACUAAGCAUCUGAGCGAGUUGAAGGUGGACAAGGCCAGUCAUUGGGGCCACAGGCCGAUGGGCAGGAGAGGACGACCCCCGGGGAGGAUCAACGGGGGCUCCAGAGAACACUUCCUCCUUAGACAGGUGAAGUGGCCCUACGGAUCUGAUGAGGCCCAGAGAAGGUUGAGGGGAGAGGAGGAAGAAGAGCCCCUUGUCCCCAUGAUCACCAGGCUGCAUUGGCAUGAAGAGAGGGAGAGAAGAUGACAGAGAGAG